UACGUAGGGUGCGAGCGUUGUCCGGAAUUAUUGGGCGUAAAGAGCUCGUAGGCGGUUUGUCGCGUUGUCCGUGAAAACUCACAACUCAAUUGUGGGCGUGCGGGCGAUACGGGCAGACUGGAGUACUGCAGGGGAGACUGGAAUUCCUGGUGUAGCGGUGGAAUGCGCAGAUAUCAGGAGGAACACCGGUGGCGAAGGCGGGUCUCUGGGCAGUAACUGACGCUGAGGAGCGAAAGCGUGGGGAGCGAACAGG
rnacentral:rRNA from 1 species